rnacentral:rRNA from 1 species
UUACAUCAGCAGUCAUCUAUGUGAUAGCGUGUGGUUGGCACCACCUGCCAGGUGCCCAGUUGGACAUCCUCCAAAACCUUGUGGCUAAUACACGCCUGCAACGGUCGGCCACAGCACAUGGGGUUGGUGGGGCUCCCCUCACUGAUCACAUGGUGGUGGAUUACGCCCAGUCGACAUGAAGACCAGUGCCCCCCAAGGGCAGCUUGCUGUUUGUUGACUCAGACUGGAUCCCUUUGGAUCGGUCGCGCUGGCAGAGUGGUGGCUUUGGCCACAUAAUCGCUUGAUCACACGAACUUCUGACCUAUCAGCCUGGACUGUGGUGUAGUGGACCACAGUGGCUAUGACGGGUAACGGAGAAUUAGGGUUUGAUUCCGGAGAGGGAGCCUGAGAGACGGCUACCACUACCAAGGUGGGCAGCAGGCGCGCAAAUUGCCCAAUGCAAAAACAUUUCUGUGAGGCAGCGACGAUCCGCAGCAAUCCUGCCAACUCAUUUGUUGGUGGGACUUGGAAUGGAUGCAAUCCAAACACAGUGAUGAGUAUCAACUGGAGGGCAAGUCUGGUGCCAGCAGCUGCGGUAAUUCCAGCUCCAAGGGCGUAUACUAUCAUUGCUGCUGUUAAAACACCUGUAGUCUGCCACUGGGUUGCAGGUCUGCUGGGUGGCCGGCCCAGUCUGUGUGGGGUUUGGGACUCCCUCGGGGGCCCUGGGCUCUGUGCUGGUUGGUGCUGGAACUCAACCCCCAGCGGUAUGCUCCUGCACCCGAAUUCAUGACGGUGAGAACUGCUCCUGCUGAAAGUCCCCUUCAUUGGGGGCCAAGGCGGUCAUGCCCCAGACGCAGGUGUGGGCCCGUCGACACCCAGGCCCUGUGCCUUGGGAAACUCUGGCAAGCCCACCACCGGAGCCGACCGUUACUGAUACCGUGGAAAACUCAGUGUGCUCCAAGCGUCCUGCUAUGGCUGGAUGCCCGUCCAUGGAAUAUCAAAGCAUCGACCGAGUGUGGCACUGGAGUUGUGCUGGCCUUGGAACCCGCUCAGGGCAAUGUGGUGCAUGCAUCCUGCCUGCUCAGGGUGGCCCCUGUGGUCAUCCCUGACUGGCCUGAAGCUUGUGCCAACCGCAGAUGAUGGGACCGCUCAGGGUGAAAGAUAUUGCAACGCCAGAGGUGAAAUUCUUAGACCGCUGCAAGAUCAACUGCAGCGAAGGCGUUCUGCAAGUGCGUGUUCGUCGAUCAAGGAUGAGAGUCUGGGGAGCAAAGAUGAUCAGACACCGUCGUAGUCCCGCACUGUAAACCGUGCCAGCCCGGCCUCAGAUGGGAAAGUCCAACGACCUGUCUGGGUGCCACGCCCCCUUCAAAGAGAAAUCCACAGCCUGUGGGUUCAGGGGGGAGUACCGUCGCAAGGCUGAAACUUAAAGGAAUUGACGGAAUGGCACCACAAGGCGUGGAGUAUGCGGCUUAAUUUGACUCAACACGGGGAAUGUUACCAGGUCAGGACGCAGCUGGGAUGGACAGAUUGAGAGCUCUUUCUUGAUCCUGUGGACGGUGGUGCAUGGCCGCUCCUGAUUGGUGGAGUGAUUUGUCUGGUUGAUUCCGAUAACGAGUGAGAUAUCUGCCUCCCAAUAGCCUCUGGCUCGCAAUUGGUAGGGUCUGACCAGGGUUUCAUAACCAGUGUCUGGUGCCUGGGCCAAAACCCAGGUCUGGGCACUGGCUUUCCCUGGUUCCCGAGAGCCAGCUGAUCAGCUUCUCUGAGGUGCUGUGUACGCUACCAAGUGCAUGCAUGCUAGAGCCAACAGCAGGUCUGUGAUGCUCCCAGAUGUCCUGGGCCGCACGCGCACUACACUGAUCCAGUGAAGGAGUCUUGUGCCUGCUUUGUCAGGCCCUGGCUGGAAGUGGCUGGGAAAUCCUGCAAGCCUGGAUCGUGCUGGGGAUAGAUGAUUGCAACUGUCUGCCUUGAACUUGGAAUGCCUAGUAUGCGUUGGUCAUCAGCCAACACAGAUUGUGUCCCUGCC